rnacentral:lncRNA from 1 species
UGGGAGGGAUGUGCCAUUAACUCACUGUAGAUGCAUGUAAUCUGAGAAUAAGAGAAGAAGUUGACCUGCAAGUUGUAAAUCCUCUCACUGACUUCAUCAAGUCAUAUAUAGGAUUACACACAAGCUGGUCUAAAGACACCUAAAUCAGUCACACUGAUUAACCUUGAUGGCAUGGGUCUGCUCGAAUCGACUAGUGAUCUAAUCAAAAUAUAAUCUGCCAUAUCGGCCAAAUAAGUGAGAUCAGUGGGAGGGAUGUG